CUUUUAAGACGAUCCCUAGCAGGAUUAAAGUCCUCCACAAGCAGGCAGAGGCAAGCUAUUCAGAAAAACAAGGUCAUGUUGCUUGCUUUUUUUUUUUCCCUUUUUUUUUUUUUGGUGAGCACGGGAAUCAACAAAGCGCAGUUAUAUAAUUUCUAUUUAUAUCCCUCUCGCUCGCUGCAGGCACCCAGGAGUAGCUGAGACGGGAAUUUAAUGAGCUCUCAGGGCUUGCUCACCUUCCAGCGCGGGUAGGAGCCAGCUUGGGUUUUUUUUUUUUUUAUUUUGAAGUGCGUCAGCAAAUGAAACUGGUGGUGGGUGGGUGGUUUGGGUAGGUGGACUGACUUGUUGCUAUGGUUUUCUUUAAUUCCUCUGUCUCUCAA
rnacentral:sRNA from 1 species